AUUGAACGCUGGCGGCAUGCCUUACACAUGCAAGUCGAACGGUAACAGGUCUUCGGAUGCUGACGAGUGGCGAACGGGUGAGUAAUACAUCGGAACGUGCCCGAGAGUGGGGGAUAACGAGGCGAAAGCUUUGCUAAUACCGCAUACGAUCUCAGGAUGAAAGCAGGGGACAGCACGGCCUUGCGCUCACGGAGCGGCCGAUGGCAGAUUAGGUAGUUGGUGGGAUAAAAGCUUACCACGCCGACGAUCUGUAGCUGGUCUGAGAGGACGACCAGCCACACUGGGACUGAGACACGGCCCAGACUCCUACGGGAGGCAGCAGUGGGGAAUUUUGGACAAUGGGCGCAAGCCUGAUCCAGCCAUGCCGCGUGCAGGAUGAAGGCCUUCGGGUUGUAAACUGCUUUUGUACGGAACGAAAAGACUCUGGUUAAUACCUGGGGUCCAUGACGGUACCGUAAGAAUAAGCACCGGCUAACUACGUGCCAGCAGCCGCAGUAACAC
rnacentral:rRNA from 1 species